CCCUUAGAUGUUCUGGGCUGCACGCGCGCUACACUGAUGCGCUCAACGAGUUUACGACCUUGCCCGGAAGGGUUGGGUAAUCUUUUUAAAACGCAUCGUGAUGGGGAUAGAUUAUUGCAAUUAUUAAUCUUUAACGAGGAAUUCCUAGUAAGCGCGAGUCAUCAGCUCGUGCUGAUUACGUCCCUGCCCUUUGUACACACCGCCCGUCGCUACUACCGAUUGAACGGUUUAGUGAGGGCCUCGGAUUGGUCUCGGCCCGCUCUUCACCGGGCGGCGCCGUUGGUCGAGAAGACGCUCGAACUUGAUCGUUUAGAGGAAGUAAAAGUCGUAACA
rnacentral:rRNA from 1 species